rnacentral:tRNA from 1 species
GGGUGGGUAGCUCAGUCUGGUAGAGUACUGCUGUAAGCAGAGGUCGGUGGUUCGAAUCCAUCCCCGCCCA